rnacentral:lncRNA from 1 species
AGCUUGUCAGAGGCAGGGAAGAAACCUCCUAUUGAAAUCCUUCCUCCUGGUAUGUCAGCACUCUCAGCUUCAAUUACAGUUAAAAAGAAACCUGCUCCGGUGACUCAGACUUCACAGCCACAAAGCAAACCAUUGGCAUUAGAAGCACCUCCUACUGGACCAGCUGAUGCACCCAUUGGUGGAGGACCUCCAAGUGCAUCUGCUGCAGUACCUGGCACACCAAUAGGAGCACCUCCUUCUGAUGCACCAGAUGCAACACCUGGUACGACAAUAGGAGCAGCAACUCCUGAUGCACCAGCUGUGGCAGCAACAGGUGCAGCACCCGCAUCCGAAGCAAGUGAACCUGCUCUAGUAGAAGAAGCUCCUAAUUCAUCAACAGGGAGCAAUCCGGAUCUGAUUGCUUCUGCAGAAAUGAACCCAGCAACAUCUGCAAGUGAUACAGAAGUACCAGAUUCAGCUGUGGUAAAUAAACCAUUGGCAGAAGUACCACCUGUGACACCAGAUAGCCAGGAAACAAGUAUUUCAUCUACGUUAACAAGAAGCCAACCAUUUGUUUGAGUCUAUUGGGACUAGCUCAUAAUGGUUUAUAUUGAUUCUUUCUGAGGCCAGGGAAUAGUUGAAUUUCAUUUGUCCUGUG